rnacentral:lncRNA from 1 species
AUAUGUUUCAGUCCUACCCUCCCCUCCUGAAAGAGUCAUUUUAAUGUCUGAGUUCUUGGUGCGUAUUGAAAUCUCUUGAUCUCAGGUGAACCUGGUACAAUGUAAUUUUUUAUUUGUUUUGUUUAGCAUUUCUUUCUUUUCUUUGUUUUUGUUGUUGUUGUUGUUGUUGUUGUUUGAGGUUUUGUUUGUUUGUUUGUUUUUGCUUUUUAGGGCCACACCUGUGGCAUAUGGAAGUUCCCAGGCUAGGGGUCAAGUAGGAGCUACAGCUGCUGGCCUACACCACAGCCACCCACACAAUGUGGGAUCCGAGCCACAUCUGUGACCUGCACCACAGCUCAUGGGAAUGCUGGAUCCUUAACCCACUGAGAAAGGUCAGGGAUCAACCUGAAUCUUCAUGGAUACUAGUUGGGUUCAUUAGAGCUGAUCCAUGACGGGAACGCCACUCUGGGUCUGAGUGGGAGGCUCUCCAUUCCAUAUAGCCUUCACUAGUGGUGAUUCUCUCUCUCUGUUACUGUGAAGGAUGGGGAGAGGAUCACUUCAAAGCUAUCUGCAUAUAACUUGGUGCCUGUUACAUGGAGGGAAAACUAGGGAAGAAGGUUUGAAUAUGACUUGAUGUUUCUGUUUGCCAAGUGAGACAACAGUUCCACGGACUGAAGGGCCCUCCCAAAGGACAAGCUUUAUGGGGAAUAAUUGUGCUUGACUUUGGACCCAUGUCUUUGGUCUCACCAGGUGCAGUUAUCUAGGAAGUGGCCAGAUCUGCUUUUUAUGUGAAGAAAGACAUUACACACACGAGCUAGAACUCAAAGGUCAUAUCCAAACAGGGGAUAAUACUGGUUCUACUGCCUCAAGGCAUUGCCAUAAGUAUAAAGUCAAUUGUGACAAGGCUGUGGACUGAGUCUGGAAAUAGAAUAGGACAAUACAUACAAAAGUACCAUUAUACAUGUUACUUUACUAAAAGUAAUAACCAGUAGCUCUAUGUGUUUUUACUGUCACCUUCACAUUUCUGCAGUGUAUUAUUACUCUUUUUGUUCUUAGAAGCACUUUUAUUAUGUUAUUGUCAGACCUAAAGCUAAGAUUUAUUUGGAGAACACCUUUGUCCCUUAGUAAGGAAGUUUUUAGUUUUUCCCUGGGAGGGCCAUAUGUAAUGAUUAAAGUUUAUCUGUAGCAUGAUCUCAAUCUGACUAAAAUCUGGUUCAAUCUUUUUAAAAACCAUUGUUCUUUAAAGUCUGAUGGUAACUUUUAGUUUCAGACAGGACUGAGAAAGCUGGUUACACUUGGAAUUGAAGGAAGGAAAUAAUUUCCCUUUAAACACCACAAAAAUCCCUGAAUAUUACUAAGACUAUAAGGCUUUUUUUUCUACUCAAUUUAUCUGGAGAAACCCUGGUUUGCAUAUUUUUGCAUCUAUUAGCCUGUGCAAUUCAGGUGACUCCCAACUCCAAGUAUGUAUGUAAAAUGAAACAAAUCGACUCUUUGUUUUAACCUGCUGCGAUUCUUGGAUGAACUAUGUGGUAGGUGUGGAAAUUUUUAAGUGCCUUGUAAACUGAAGAAGAAUUCAGGAAAUGUGGAGGUGGGCAUUCAUGGUACCAGCUUGGCCUCCGAGGUAAGGAUGGGGAGGUAAGAAAGGUCUGGGAGAGUAGCAAUAUGGGCACAUACGUCCCUGAGUAUGGGUUUGCAGAGCACCCCCAGCUGAACAAGGGAGAUCCCAGAGGAGGGUUUUAAGACACUUCUAUCUGUAAUCAGGGACUUAGAGUAAGUUUGUGGAGGCAGACCUUGUCCUUGGGACUCUGCACCUUGACAUCACUGUUCUCCUGUGUUAGCCACUUGCCUUCCUUUCAGAGAUCCUCAGGCCUGUCUUAAUUUUAUGCAAAUAUAUAUGGUAAAAAGAUUGCAUAUCUUAUUACUAUUGCAUGUUCUCUAGACACAUUUUGGAAAAGAAAAAAUCUCCCCCAAACUUCUCUUUAUAAUGUAUUUUUGUUUUUCUCUGGUAACUUAUCCAUCGAGCCUUAAGAAAAUACAAUACUAGAGGAGAUUUUCAGUUCUUUGGAAGCCAGUAAACAAACAAAUAUUUUUCCUGGGAGUAGGGAUCAUUGGAACCAUGCAAUUAAACCCCAAAGGCAGUUGUUUCUUUGCCUUCCUUUUGGGCCAGAUUCUAAACCUGCAUUACCCAGUGCAGUGGCCACUCACCACCAUGUGCGGCCACAUGGGCGCGUGGAAUGUGGCUGAAUUGAGGUGUGCUGUCAGUGUAAAAUGCACACUGAUUUGGAAGGCUUCCUAUGAGGAAAAAAAUGUAAAAUUUCCCAUUCAUAAUUUAAAAAUAUUGAUUAGCUAUUGAAAUGUUAAUGUUUUGGAGAUAUUGAGUCAAAUGAACUAUAUUACCAAAAUUAAUUUUCUACUCCUUCUGACUGUUUUUUAAAUGUGGCUCCUGGAAAAUUUUAAAUUAUGCAUGUGACUCACACACCAUUUUCUAUGAGGCAGGACUGCUCCAAAAGAUACGUGUCACUCUUCUUCCUGAUGAGAAACCUGCAGCAAGAGCUGAAAGUCAGAGUCAGUAUUGGGCUGUGGUGAGGAGCCCUUGCUUGCUACCCAUUACUGAUGCUCUAGCUUAUUACUACUAUCUAUAAUUUGAUUAUCCAGUGUCUUGAAAUCAUUUAAUGUGGGUCUUGUUUGCUUUACCUUUCUUUCUGUUCUGCCUAUGUUUCUACUAUAAUUCAGUACAGAGAAAGCCAGUAUCCUCAGCUUCAGGGCCAUGUAAGUAGAUUUUAGUAGAAACAUGAUUUCUUCUGAUGACUAGUAAAAAGGAAUUAGGUUUUGUCAUUUAUUCACUUGGAAUUUUGUCUCACUGAAACCUUGAUACUCUAUUUAACCUACUUCUAGUUGGCAAAUAUCUACUGCCAUGUUAGGUUAUGCUUUUUUUGCUUAAAUUAACUCUUAAAUAAUAUAGCAUAGCAGAUACAGGAGAAUGGGUGGGGGAGAAAAAGUUUCCACUUUUUUUUUUUUAAUACAAGACUGAUUUUAUUAUAUUACUAGGGAAAUAAGUUAGAUUGCUCUGGCAGUCUCAAUAAAUCACACAUGAAGUCGUCUUUUUUUUUCCCUAAAUUAAAUUUUUAUUUAAAUAAAAGUGUUAUGUUUGUAUUUGAGCUGACAGCUAAAUCUGAUAAUUAGAGUGCAUGAAGUUGGCUUUGAUUGGCAUUGUAAUUGGAUUGUCAUUGGGCUGAGAACCUAUUAUCUUUGGAUCAUGCCCCAUGAAAUCUGUUGAAGAAACUUUGCUGCCAGUCAUUAGAGCCACCAUCUUGGCUUACAAAUUAGGUUUGAAAGGCUUCUUACCACUGGGAAUGUAAUUUAAACCACUGCAAUUGCACUCCCAUUAAUUAAAAUUAUAUUAAAAUUAUGGUUCAUUUUCUAAAUAUUUUUUUCGUAUUUUAUUAGACAUACUUAUUACUAAAUGCUUAACAAAUUACAUAGCAGUGCUUAGUAAAAUUAUGUUUCAGAGAUAAUCCAUCUCUUUAGCACAUGCUACUCAGCACCAGUAGAAUUAGUCAGUGUUAAUCAUUAAAAGAUAUACUAUUUAUGUUUUUUCAUUACAAGUUUCAUAAAGAAACAUUUCCAUUAUUUUAACAUAAAAAUGCAAGCCCAGCAAUGUCUACUAUAAAUUAAGAUCGGUCUUGCCGAUAAUGAAAUAUGCAGCUUUGCUGUAAGGAGGUGUCGUCUGCUAUGGUCACAGUUCUUCCUGCUUUAAUUUUUUUUUUUUUCUUUUCUAAAACAAUAGAAGCCUGUAAAACAGAGAAGACUUUUUUUUUUUUUUUUUUUUUUUUGAUAGACGAUUAGUUGGGGGGGGGGGAAGCACGCACACAUGCCAAAAUCUAUGCUGCUCUUUAUUCCUAUUAUUGUCUGCUAAAAGCAGAUCAGAGCUGAUUAAGACAGAAAAAGAGCUUGUGAGGGCUGAGAAUAAGAAUGAGGUGGGGGUUGGUGGUGAGGCUGGUCUGUCCUAGCUGGUGGAGAAGGAUGUGUGUGUCCCGGGGCCCCCAGCACCUCCUCCCUGGCACCUACCCUCUUCUCUCUGGGCACAGAAGCCCAGGUACUCAUGGGCAAAUGCUGCCAUCAAGGAUGUGGAUGUGAAGCACUCAGAGGCAUACUUUCUGAGAUUCAGAAUUAGGCAGAGAUUCUUAGGUGUGCUUCUCUUGUUUUAUAUCAUUUCUUUUCCUUUUUGCAAUUGAUGUUUGAUUGUUCAAGAACAUCUCCCCACUCCUCAAUUUCUUUCUAACCUUGGGGUGACAGUUUGGAAACUUGGAUAAAAAACUCUGAGGGGAUUUAAAAGUAUAAAACAAAGUUUUCAAGUCUGUUCUAAUAUUAUUUGGAUUGUAUUAAACAUCUGUACUCUCCUCUGCCCACCUGAGUAGUCCCUCUCAGUUGUUUUUACCUGGCACCUAUUUCCAUUGUUGUUUCUGUCGCUAGUGUUUUUCUCAGUAUCUGACAUGUAACUGAUGCUUAAAAAAUGUUAAGUUGAGGAGUUCCCGUCGUGGCGCAGUAGUUAACGAAUCCGACUAGGAACCAUGAGGUUACGGGUUCAGUCCCUGCCCCUGCUCAGUGGGUUGACGAUCCGGCGUUGCCGUGAGCUGUGAUGUAGGUUGCAGACGCGGCUCGGAUCCUGCGUUGCUGUGGCUCUGGCGUAGGCCAGUGGCUACAGCUCCGAUUCAACCCCUAGCCUGGGAAACUCCAUAUGCCGCGGGAGCGGCCCAAGAAACAGCAAAAAGACAAAAAAAAAAAAAAAAAAAGUUAAGUUAAAUUGAAUUGCAUUAAAUAGUCUACUUUCUAAAUAUGCUAGGUUUAGCUAGAGGCAGAUCCCGAGUAAGUUAAGGUCCUCACAUAGGGAUGACAAGGAAUAGGUGAUAAAGUGCUUUCAUAAUUUAUUUACUGGCUCUAUUAUUUGGCCUUUUGGGGUGAAUUCUGCUACCUGCUUUUCCAAUCCCCUUUCAUUAAUAGAUGAGGAUACUGAGGGUCGGAGGGCUGAGAGUUCAAGGUCACAUGGUUACUGAAUAAGUACCAGAGCUGGGACUAUACCUCUGAGCUUCUGUCUUUAAGCUCAGGACUCUGUCCAUUCCCCCAGGACACCUGCUGUAAAAAAGGACUGUGUCCCAAGUGAUCGAGGGUUGUUCUCGCCUUCACUUUUACUUAUGGGUGGGAGAGGAGCUUAGAAGACAAUCAGCAAUUUGGAAAAAAAUUCUCAAGAAUGUUUGGGCCCUAUGACCCAUAGACACCCUUUCUAGAAAUAUUUUCUAAAGGCGUAAUCAAUGAUGAGUUAUUUAAUCACAGCCAACUUUUAUUGGCUGCUCAAAAUGAGGCAGGCACGGUGCUCAGCACUUUACAUAUAUUUUCUCGCUUAUACACAGAACAGGCCGAUGAGCUGUGUUCUUACAAUUACUCUCCCCUGAAACAGAUGGCAAAAUGAGGCAUGAGAGGAUUUUGUAAAAUAGGUCCAAGCGUCCAAGUUACACAGCUAUUUAGGAUUUGGAGCCAUUCUGAACCUAAAGCUCUUCCUCUCCACUGAUGUGCUCAUGGCUCAGUCACUGCAGUGACGCCUAAAGCAGAGAAAGCUCGGAAGCAAUCUGAAAGCCUGGCAAUAGGGAAUCCUUU